rnacentral:rRNA from 1 species
UGCAGGCCGUGUGGCUUUUUCUGCGUCUGCCGGACGGUUCUCUCCCCGGAGUCGGGUUGCUUGGGAGUGCAGCCCUAAGCGGGUGGUAAACUCCACCGAAGGCUAAAUACUUCCACGAGACCGAUAGCAAACAAGUACCGUGAGGGAAAGUUGCAAAGAACUUUGAAGAGAGAGUUCAAGAGUACGUGAAACCGCUCGGAGGCAAACGGGUGGGCCCUCGAAGGUCGAACGGGGGGAUUCAACCCGUCCGCAGGCAUGGUUGCGCGUCACGGAUGGUGAGGCAUCGGGGGUUUUCUCCCCGUGUCUUGCCUUACGGAUCCGAACGUCGGACCGGUCCGUGACACCAAAGUUAUAUCUUUGCGGCGACCGCGGGCGGGCGCACUUCCCCCUCAGUAGGACGCCGCGACCGGUCGGGUAUCGAAAGAUAAAGCGGCUUUGCAGCGGGACGACGGCAGGUAUCCGUCGCCGGUCACCUUUCUCUCGUCCUUUGUGGCGGGGGAAAAGCCGGUCGGAAUUACAGCUGGUCUCCGCUUCGGUUGCUGCCCGACCGAGGAACUGCGUGCCCGCGCUGUCAUGUGACUUCGGUUGCAUGAGACGCGCGGUUCGCCCACCUGGCAGGCUGGGCCACCGGGUACCGGACGCCCCUAGUUUGGCGGUCGGCUAUCUCGCUGUGGCUCGCUGGUGGUCGGGCGUAGCUGCUCUCGUGGUGGCGCUCGUGGUCAGCGGCGAGUAGGUCGGUCGCCCACCCGACCCGUCUUGAAACACGGACCAAGGAGUCUAACAUGUGCGCGAGUCGCAGGGUUGACUCGCAAGUUGAAGCCCGAAGGCGAAAUGAAAGUGAAAGUCGGUGCGUCUGGCCGACUGAGGCGGGAUCCGUCCGGGUAUCGCUGCAGCUCUCGAGGGGGCUGUGGGAGCCCGGCGGCGCACCGCCGGCCCGUCUCGACCGCUUCCUGUCGGCGAGGCGGAGCAAGAGCGCACACGUUGGGACCCGAAAGAUGGUGAACUAUGCUCGGGCAGGACGAAGCCAGAGGAAACUCUGGUGGAGUCCG